AGAAGUAUUCUUGCGCUGACUGGCGCUGGUUGUGCUUGUGCUCAGAUCGAAUUUGGGGCUCGCUAGCAUAUCCUGUAAGCGAAAGGAUAUACCUCAGCAACGCAACAUUUUGUAUUGUCAUCCCAGCAGAUUGAAAAACAGAUAAAUUAACAGCAAAUAAGUGAAAGGAUUUAAUUAAGUGCUAUGUUAAAGUCAGCGAAUAUCAAAUUGCUCCUUGUGAGCUGGAGUUGCCUGGCAGCUCUGUCGCAGGCAAAGUCCUAUGGUUCCCCAGAUCUCGACAUAGACAAUGACAAUUCCAUUGCCACUAUUGAGUCGACAGUGGAUCCGUUUGAAAGUUGUAAAAUCUACUGCAAUGGCACUCUACUGCACACCAUCCAAAUGGCUAAACCUCCACUGUUCUCGGAUUCAAAAACGUUUGUGGACAUGACACUUAAGUACUCGCCCGAUAAGACCCUUGAGGACUUUAAUGCGAUGAUGGAGGCCAAAAACCAACAGCCCAGCAGAGAAGACCUGAAGAAUUUCAUCAAAGAAUACUUCGGUGACAAAGGCACCGAACUAGAAUCUUGGGUGCCCUCGGACUGGAAAGAGAAUCCCAGCUUCGUAGAUCGCAUUUCUGACCCAGAUCUAAAGCAGUGGGGUGUGCAGCUAAAUGACAUUUGGAAGAAACUGGGCCGCAAAAUGAAGGACGAUGUGAUAAAGAGCCCUCAGAACUACUCUAUCAUCCCAGUGCCUAAUCCGGUGAUUGUGCCCGGAGGUCGUUUCAUCGAAUUCUACUACUGGGAUUCCUACUGGAUCAUCAGGGGACUUCUCUAUAGCGAGAUGUACUCCACCGCCCGCGGCAUGAUUGAGAACUUCCUGUCUAUCGUCGAAAGGAUCGGCUUCAUUCCGAACGGCGGACGAGUGUACUAUCAUGGUCGCUCCCAGCCGCCACUUCUGACUGGGAUGGUCAAGUCGUAUGUGGACUUCACCAACGAUGACCAGUUUGCCAUUAACGCCUUGAAGCUUUUGGAGCACGAGUUCAAUUUCUUCUUAAACAACCGUGCGGUGUCCGUCAACAAUCACACCCUGUGCAUCUACAGCGAUUCGUCGGAGGGUCCGCGGCCAGAGUCCUACAGUGAAGAUGUUAAUACCGCCGCUUCGUUCGACUCAGACGAAAAAAAGGAGCAUCUCUACACCCAGAUCAAGGCGGCGGCCGAAUCUGGAAUGGACUUUAGCACCCGCUGGUUCAUCUCUGAGGACGGAACCAACGCUGGAAAUCUUAGCAACCUUAGUACCACCAGUAUUGUACCCGUCGACCUGAAUGCCUAUAUGUUCUGGAACGCCAAACUGAUUGCCGAAUUUUACUCAAAGGCCGGCAACAUCAAGAAGGUGACCGAGUACGAGGAAAAGGCUGGGGAGUUUUUACUGGGCAUCCAAGAAGUGCUGUGGAACGAGGAGGCCGGGUGCUGGCUGGAUUAUGAUAUAGAGAACAAAAAGUCGCGCAACUAUUUUGUGCCCACCAAUCUUUCACCGCUGUGGGUAAAGGCCUACAAUAUUUCAGAUUCUGAAAAUAUCUCGGCUAAAAUUAUGGCCUACAUUGAGAAGAACAAGCUGGACACAUAUCCUGGCGGAGUUCCCAACACGUUAGCCGCUCAAAAUGAGCAGUGGGACUUCCCCAAUGUGUGGGCGCCAAUGCAGUACAUCUUGGUCGAAGGCCUAAACAACCUGAACACUCCCGAGGCAAAGAAUAUGUCAAUGAAGUGGGCCACCCGCUGGGUGAAGUCAAACUUUAAGGCUUAUACCGACCACCUCGACAUGUACGAGAAGUACGAUGCCCAGGUUUUCGGAGGACAUGGCACAGGAGGCGAGUACGACGUGCAAACGGGCUUCGGCUGGUCCAACGGAGUGAUCAUCGAGUGGCUGAGCAAGCACGGGCGCGAUAUUUCGACAGGCUCGGGAAGUGGCGCAUCAGGUGAAAAGCUGCAAUAGAAUGAAUCUGUAGACAGGCCAGAACGCUAGCCAUCAAAAAUCAUCGUCAGCAUCAUCACAGGCUCAAAGCCAAAGCUUUAAAAAAAAAAUUGUAUUUAGUUAUUUGUAAACGAUAGGCAUCCAUCCAGAAGCGCUCAUCAACUGCUCAUCCUUAGGCUAAGAAAACGCUCUUUCUCCGCAAUAUCUAUCCCUAAAUACGCCGCUGUCUAUAACCUAUAUCUGUACCGCGAACCAUCGAAAUCCCGAGACAAGCACUACGAACCACAGCACCACAGUCACAGCACCGCCAGGAAUCAGGAUCCGAUGUCCGCCAUCCAUCGAGCAUCUCUGUACUGUCUGUUAUCCAUGUAUUCCACGUCCAGUCCACGUUUGCACAUUCGUGUGACUUGUCCAAAUUCAAGAAAGAAUCAAAAAGAACAUUAAAUGUCUCAAAGCAGUCACAGCGUCGCGAUCAAUUUAAGGAUUCACGACUUCUCGUGUGAUGAGCGUUGUGGGCGUGGCAGCCGUUACCAUUGUAGCUCUGAUAGCAGGUCGUGUUUUAUGGUGAGACACUCUGUGCCAAACAACCCGUAAUUGCUUCCCAAGUAAUGUGAUUCCCCCUGUGUGUGUAUAGUGUCUGUAAUUGUUCAAGUUUUUCGUUGAAUGCGGAGAUUGCAGUAUUAGAUUAUCAUUAUCUGGUAGUUGAAGUGAGAGUUGUACAUACUGAAUUUACAUGGGCAUGCCCAACAUUGUUAUUACGUUUUAAUAUUUAGCAAAUACCUAAACCAAUCCUAGCUCCUCGCAACCAAAUGAAGACACAAAUACAAUUGUUAACAAUAAUUUACAAACUUUUUCUUAGUAUUUUUAAAUAAACAAAAACACUAAAUA